rnacentral:lncRNA from 10 species
UCUGAGAUGGAGUCCAGGCCUGGGGGCCCUGGAAGGUGAGUGGGGCAGGAAGAGAAGACAGAGACACCAUGAUGACAAGAUCAUCUACCCAGGCCCCUCCUUCUCUCCAGUCACUCACCCAGUUCCCAUUCAUUCAUCAUUCAUUCAUUUAUUGUCACAAAUAUUUAUUGAGCACCUCCUAUGAGCCACACACCAUAUUAGACCCUCGGGUAGCCUAUGGCAAGCCAAACCCGACACUGCCCCCGCCUUCUUGGCAUUUACAAUCUGGACAUAACUGACCCCCUCACCCUUUCACACCUGACCUCUCCUCUCCAUCUCCUCAGCUUCUGCUCUGAGUCAGGGCCUCAUUUCCUAUACCUUCUGACAGGUCUCCCUACCUCCCUGUCAAUUCUUACUGACCACCAGUGGGGUACCCAGGUCCGACAGGCCACUCCCGAACUCAGAAUCCUUCUGUGGUGCCCCCGUGGCCCUCAGGAAGACGGGGACAGAGGGAAGAGCCGUAGCUUCCAGCAGAGGUGAUGCCUCCAUCCUUUGAGACACCACUCUCCAUCUUCCAUCUUUCUGAUUAGCACACGUGUGCAGUAAAGGAUUAACCCUGCCCAAAGAAAGGUUUCGCCUUUUCCCCGGCUCCUGGGAGAUGACUUCGAAGCCUUUGGAACACCUUGCCUGAUAAGAGAUUUUUUUCCCUGGGGCACUUGGGCCAUGCCAGAUCGCCUAUGCUAACAGUGUGAUUUAUGGUCAGCCACAUGUACGUGGCCAAGUCCCCACGAACACUCUGGAUGCCAAGGCUUGGGGGAACUUCCCUAGUUGGCAGUUCCUCAUGUGUGUUGUCCCACUUCGUUGCUGGGAUAAUGAAGUGCUGUCUGCAUAACUCCACUGGGACAGGACAGUUGGAAGCUCACACCUACUGUCUCCUGAGCCCUGCCUCAGGCGCCUCUUCCCUUGGCUGAUUUUAAUCUGUAUCCUUUCACUGUGAUAAACGAUAACGCUGAGUGUAACAGAUUCUUUGAUUCUAAGAGUUCUUCUAGCAAAUUAUUGAGUCUGACAGUGGUCUUGGUAACCUCAAACUAUAACGAGUCACACAGGUUUGCAAUGAUUUGUUAGAGUAUUUCUCUACAUGAGCUGUGAGCUAUUCAAAGACCAAGACCAUGUUCAUUCCAUUCAUGAGCCCAGCAUGAGGACCCUGCACCUGGCUCAGCCUCUGCAAUUUAAUAACAGGCAUUGCCUGAGUUUAUGUUAACUGGCUCUCACUUUGGCUUCUUUCCAUCUCCCAGUGCCCUGCCUGCUUCCUUUCAUCGUAGGAAAGCUAAAGCUCCUUUCUUAGUGGGAAAUUUCCUUGAUUCCUGGAAGGAAGAGGAAGCAGAAGCUUCUCUGAGUGGGAAUCCCAGAUCUGCCAGUUAGUUGUUGCUGUGUGAUCUUGAGCAAGUUACCCAACCUCUCUGUGCCUCAGCUUCUUUAUCAGUAAAAUGGGCAUAACACACACCACCCUAGACUUAUUAUGUGAUUUCAAUGUGGUUAUAUGUGCAAAAACACCCAGCACAGGGCUGGGGCUUAGGAAGCACUCAAUCAAUGUUAGUGCCCAUGUUAGUUACUGUUCCCCUCCAGGAAGCCCUCCUGGAGUCAACAGAUAGCUAGGGCCUCCUUACCAGUGCAGGUGACCCCAACAUCCUCAUUGUGAGCGCAGUUGUGCUUUCCCCAGGGAGCAGCAGGGCAGUCGGACAGUGAAGCCUCGGUCCCCACACAGCCCACAUCAUCUAGCCAGAUGGGGCCCGCACCCCAGCCAAAGCGGCCAGCAGCAGGGUCUGGCUGCUGAGGUCCACCACAGCCCAGCUCCCGGCAGACCACAGCUGAAUCCCGCAUGUCCCAGCUAUCGUCACACACGGUCCCCCAGCGCUGGUCAUGCCACACCUCCAGUCGACCUGAGCACUUGCUGGGCCCAGCCACCAGGCGCAGCUGGGGGGACCCUGGGGUAGAAGAGACCCAAAGAAUUAGAGUCGGGGAAGCCGCCCAGCCUCCUGACUCUUCAUCCACCUUUCCCUCCCCCCAUCUUCCUUUCCACUCAUCCAUCUAGGCCUUCCCUCCAUUCAUCCAUCCUUUCCUCCAGGCAGCAAGUAUUUCAUGAGGCCUUUUUUGUGCCAUUUUCUGCAUUAGGCAUGAGGGAUAAUGAGUCAGGCAGAGUUUGGAGGAUCCUCAAAAAGCUACACAUCAAAUUACCAUAUAAUCUAGAAAGUCUGCUACUAGGGAUAUACCCAGAAUAAACUGAAAACAGGUAUUCACACAGAUACCAGUAUGUGAAUGUUCAUAGCAGCACCAUUCACAGUAGCCAAAUAGUAGUGGUUGUACAGC